rnacentral:rRNA from 1 species
GACGAACGCUGGCGGCGUGCUUAACACAUGCAAGUCGAACGGAAAGGCCCUGCUUUUGUGGGGUGCUCGAGUGGCGAACGGGUGAGUAACACGUGAGUAACCUGCCCUUGACUUUGGGAUAACUUCAGGAAACUGGGGCUAAUACCGGAUAGGAGCUCCUGCUGCAUGGUGGGGGUGGGAAAGGUUCGGCGGUUGGGGAUUGACUCGCGGCUUAUCAGCUUGUUGGUGGGGUAGUGGCUUACCAAGGCUUUGACGGGUAGGCGGCAUGAGAGGGUGACCGGCCAUCCUGCGGCUGAGCAGCGGCCCAGACUCCUACUGAAGCUAGCAGUCGGGAACACUGCACAAUGCGCGGACGCCUGCUGCCGCAACGCAGCGUGCGGGAUGACGGCAUUCGGGUUGUAGGCCGCGUGUGCCUGUGACGAAGCGUGAGUGACGGUCCUGGGUAAAGAAGCACCGGCUAACUACGUG